rnacentral:rRNA from 1 species
UACGUAGGGUGCAAGCGUUAAUCGGAAUUACUGGGCGUAAAGCGUGCGCAGGCGGUUUUGUAAGUCUGACGUGAAAUCCCCGGGCUCAACCUGGGAAUUGCGUUGGAGACUGCAAGGCUGGAGUCUGGCAGAGGGGGGUAGAAUUCCACGUGUAGCAGUGAAAUGCGUAGAGAUGUGGAGGAACACCGAUGGCGAAGGCAGCCCCCUGGGUAAAGACUGACGCUCAUGCACGAAAGCGUGGGGAGCAAACAGG